CCUCCAACAUUGGGGAUUACAAUUCAACAUGAGAUUUGGGUGGGACACAGAGCUAAACCAUAUCACUGGCCCUCCUUUUUGCUUUAUUCUUCUCCCUAGCAUUUAUAACCAGUCAACAGUCUAGGCAGUCUACUGCCUCUCUCUAGAAUGUGAGCUCCAUGGAGGCAGGGAUUUUUAUCUGGUUUGUUUACUGCUGUAUUCCCUGUGCCUAGAACAGUGACAGGCAAAUAGUAGAUAUUCAAUAAAUGCUUUCUGAAUAAAUGAAUGGGUGAAUCAAGACCAAAUGCCUCCUUCAUUUUUAUUUCUUUGAUCAUUCAAUAAAUUCUAGUUGGAGGAUAGAUUGGAGGGAGAGUGAAAGCAGGUAGGCUGAAUAAUUAGAAUGCAAUUCUGAUCUCUGAUCUCCUGUUUCCCCAUUCAUAAGACAAAUGAGCUGAGGAGACCUCAAAGUACUCUUUCAGCCCCACUAUUCUAUGAAUCUAAGAGCUUUUCCCAGUAGAAAUACUUGGAAGAUAAAAUUAAUUCUGUCUUUAAUCAACAGUUCCUAUCUCUGCACGUGACUUGUCAGGGGAACUUUUCUCUGAUGCUCACACGAUGUGGGAACUUGUCACAUCUUCAAUCUCUGGGAACAUCCUCACCUGAAAUUGAAAGGUAGAACAAAGGCAGUGAAGGGUGCAAGGAUAUUAGAACUCUGUUCUGUGAGCUUUCAUGAACGCUGUGGAAGGAUCCAGGCAAGAUGGCCUCAAAUUAAGAUUUUAAUGACUCUUUGGUUUAGAAAGCACACUCUUGUUGUUAAUGCUAUCUUAUCAGGUGUCUUUUUUAAUUUACAGAUGAAAGUUUAAAAAAUUCAUAAUUACACAAACACUU
rnacentral:lncRNA from 13 species